UGGCCACCUAAAUUUCGUUCCUAAUUAGUGCUCAUGACAUAAAUGAAAUUUGGAAAUUAUCAAUUUAAGCUCAUUUUGAAUUUUAAAUAUAAUGUCAAAUAAAUAAAUGUAUCAGUUGACGCCGUCAAGAAUUACUUUUUAUUACAUUCAGCGCUUUAAAUUAAUUCUCUUGAAUGUAGAAAUAUGUGGUGGCACGAUGCAGCUUUCGGUAAGUUUGGCAUUACUUUGCUCCGGGUUGCCAUAUACACUGAUGGACAAAAAAAGAGCUUUUAGCAUGUAUUUUGUCAUAUUGCUGCAUGCGAUAUCUAUUCGACAAGGCACGACGAGGGAGGUUCUGGAAUCUGGAUUGAGUUUUGCAUUUUUUCAAAUUUUCUCUGUAAAAUUAAUUUAAUCUCAGAUAUUAUACGUUAACCAAUAAUGUUCUCUACAUAAUACUCUUUUAAUAUGUAAAACUUUCUAUUGUCAACUCUACUUUUGAAUGUCUGGACAGGAAAUUUGCGUCAUUUGCAAGCUUUUCUUCUUUAAAUUACACCCUGAAUUGAA